rnacentral:rRNA from 1 species
UACGGAGGGCGCAAGCGUUGUUCGGAAUCAUUGGGCGUAAAGCGCGUGUAGGCGGUCUGGUCAGUCGGGUGUGAAAUACCGGAGCUCAACUCCGGAACUGCAUUCGAUACUGCCAGGCUAGAGUCCCGGAGAGGGUGGUGGAAUUCCCGGUGUAGAGGUGAAAUUCGUAGAUAUCGGGAGGAUCACCAGCGGCGAAGGCGGCCACCUGGACGGUGACUGACGCUGAGUCGCGAAAGCGUGGGGAGCAAUCAGG